AAUUCUUGCACUUUUCAUGUAUUUAAUGUAUUAUUCUUUAGGUGUUGUCAAUGUUACUGUGCAAAUGUCGUCACCACCUCAUCAGAGGUUACCCUCACCUGUAUUGCUGACUGCAAUGUCGGCAACAUGUAGCAUGUAGACAUCCUCUAGUGCACGUCAUAUUGGCCCGCCCACUAUUGGAGGAGAUGCACAUGAGGAUAUGCCAGAGGCAACUAUUGCUGAUAACAUAGCAUCAUUUCCUAGAUCUUCUCGUAUUGCUAGUACGGGAACGUUGCAGGCCACAUUGGUGGUGAGCGACGAAGAAAUGAUUCCCUUAAAGAUACAAAAGGUUCCAGGCAAUGAUAUUUUCUAUAAACAUCUUAGUGACAUUGCAUUGCACAUAUUUGGGCCCACCAUCCGUAAAAGGUGGAAUGACCAAGGAAAAAGGUUAAAAGAUGAAUUGACAAACCAAAUGGUUGAGUGGUUUGGAAAUGACACCUUUGACAAAACCAAGCUCCUUGAAAAAGCUGGCACAUAUCUAAAGUAUGUGAGGGACCAAUACAGGACCCAUUUGGAGAGGAACCUAAAGUACGAGUAUCCCGCCAUGAUUCCAGAGAGGGAGUGGAAGGACCUGAUUUUGGAUGCGAAGGAGAAAAUUGAAAGGAAAAAAGGAAAUACACCACUAGACGCCAGAAGAAGGUACGGGAUACUAUUAAGAAUGUAAUUAUGUACUAAUUAAUUACUCUUUAUAUUUAUAUAGUCUAACAUAUUUCAAACUUUUUAUAAACUGAGUGACAUGUCAAAGGCAACCAAGGCAAGAAAAGCAUGGGAAACACAAACUCGGCUCUGGUGGUUACAUGAAACUUGUUGCACAAAUUGGCUCUGAAUUCAAUAGAGCGCCCAUAGAAGAUGACAAGAGAAUUGCCUACCAACAAGGCUAUUCAGCUGUGGCUGAUCGGCUACGAGAAUUGAGUGGGCAUACACAACAUUUGAGUGCAUCCGUCACACAGCCUGCUAAUUGUGAAACACCACCUACACAUGAAGGUCCGGAUGGGCAUCCCAGUAGUGGAGCAUGUAGUCGGUGUUGAGCAAGUGGAGCAUGAUCUAGGUACACAACAUCAAGAACGUGAUGUUCCCCACUCAGAUGAUCUAGAGGGUGUUCAGCAUGUUGAGGUUGAGGCUACACAAAAUGAUGUGGCCCCAUUAGAGGACCCCCUUCGCUUUAGUGUCCUCGUCCUCAGUAUAGGACUAGGCAUACAUAGAGAUCAUGAGUAGUUGGCGGAACAUCUGCAGAGGGGGGAAAUGAUGAAGAAACUGAUGUUCCACUUAGUCUUUUCAUAGCUUCAAAGAAAAAACAAAGAAAGAAAUGAUUGUAAUCUAACUUAUUUG